rnacentral:sRNA from 12 species
GUGCUCCAUUAAAUAAUUUGCAAACUCAGUCAUAAAUAGCAAGACCAUGCUACUGAGAAUACCUUGGAUAAAUCAGAACACUGUAGAGAGAUAUUUUUAUAGAAUGCUGUUUGAUGUAUUCGUGAGUAUACAUUGAGGAGAGUCGAAAGUACUCAACUUUAAGAGGUAGUUGCAAUGCAUUAUGAGAAUAAGGUAUGACUAACUGUUCUCAAGCAUAAUUGAAACCUAGUUUUGAGUUGACUCUUAAGAGUUGAGGAGAAAACGGGGAGUAGUCCUAAAACCUAUUGUACCUGAAGAAUACAAGUAGUUUAGUAGGAAAUCUUCAACCAAGCUUGAGUGAGUGCAAGAAAGGCUUAUAGAAAUAUAAGUCAAAACAGACGUCAGUACAAGUACCAAAAGUGCAUUUCAGAAGGUUUCACAGUCAAUGAAAAUAUGUUCUGAAUGGUUUGGGAACGUUAUAGGUAUUAGUCCUAUAGAGGUUUAGGCAUUUUUAUGCAAUAUGAGAAGUCAAGGGUCGCUCCCGAAGGCUCAGACUCAUAUUCCUCUUAACCUAAUAAUUCGUAGUAAUGUUAUUGUCAGGCGAAAGCCUUGUAAAUUAUUUAUUUUUUA